rnacentral:rRNA from 1 species
AGUGAACGCUGGCGGUAGGCCUAACACAUGCAAGUCGAACGGCAGCACAGUAAUUUCUUGCUCUUACGGUUGGCGAGUGGCGUACGUGUUAGUAAUACAUCGUAAUCUUCUUUUUCUUUUGUGUUUACGUAGGUAAACUUACUCUAUUACCUCAUACUUCCUACGUGUUAAAUCAGUUGAUCUUCUGACCUUUCUCGUUUUUAUUAGCCGAUGUCGGAUUAGCUAGUUGGCUGGGUAAAGGCCCACCAAGGCGACGAUCCGUAGCUGGUCUGAGAGGAUGAUCAGAGACACUGGAAGUGAGACACGGACAAGACGACUACGGGAGGCAGCAGUGGGGAAUAUUGGACAAUGGGCGAAAGCAUGAUACAGCAAGACCGCGUGGGUGAAGAAGGAAUGCGGGUUGUAAAGACCUUUUGUGGGGAAAGAAAAGCAGCAGGUGAAUACACAGCUGUUCUGACGGUAACAAAAGAAUAAGCACCGGCUAACUUCGUG